AAGUUUACUGAGUCAGAAACACUCAGGAUGGGACCUAGCAGUCUGUGUUUUAACAAGUCCUCCAGGUGAUUCUGAUGCUAGCUUAGCAGUGGAGAACCAUGGCUUUAAAGCAGCGAUGAGGACAGUUGCUGCUGCUGCUUCUGCUAAGUUGCUUCAGUCGUGUUCGACUCUGCGACCCUAUGGACGACAGCCCACCAGGCUCCCCCGUCCCUGUGAUUCUCCAGGCAAGAACACUGAAGUGGGUUGCCAUUUUCUUCUCCAGUGCAUGAAAGUGAAAAGUGAAGGUGAAAUCGCUCAGUCGUGUCUGACUCUUAGCGACCGCAUGGACUGCAGGCUAUCAGGCUCCUCCGGCCAUGGGAUUUUCCAGGCAAGAGUACUGGAGUGGGGUGCCAUUGCCUUCUCCGGAUGAGGAGAGUAGAACACAGCUAAACUUUUGUGCUGUAAAUGCUACUUCAGAAUUAUAAACUCCAAUGUGAUAAAAUUGGCUGGGAAUCACUUGCUCUGGAACUUCUUAGGAGUAUGAGACUGGGGAAAUCAUCCUUGGCGAUCUUAUGAAGACCUUCUCAUGCAAGACAGAACCAAGGAAAUUACAAACUCCCACGACAUCUAUGGUGCCAUUGCUUGGAUUUAACCUGGCUGAAACAACCUUGGCUUGGCCCCCAAGAAGCCAAGGCCAGACACAGCAAAAGCCCAACUCAGUGAAAGCUCCCGCAGUGGAAGCUGAAGGCAAAGAAAAUCCAACUAAGUGGAAGUGACAAGAAGCCCAGCAUACUGGAAACUGGGACGGCAAAAACAAACUCGGCCAAAAGCCCAUGCGACUCAAUCUCAGAUUCCAGAAGACCUCUGGUUGGGGUAAGAAGUCCUCAUCCCUACGGCUGGAAGGACAUAUGGCUAAUAAAAUCUUAAUUCCUU
ensembl:lncRNA